rnacentral:rRNA from 1 species
UACGUAGGUGGCGAGCGUUAUUCGGAUUUAUUGGGCGUAAAGGGUUCGUAGGAGGUUAUAUAAGUUUGAUGUGAAAUCUCAUGGCUCAACCAUGAAACUGCAUUGGAUACUGUAUGACUAGAGUAUUGGAGAGGUAAGCGGAAUUCCUGGUGUAGCGGUGGAAUGCGUAGAUAUCAGGAGGAACACCGACGGCGAAGGCAGCUUACUGGACAAUUACUGACUCUGAGGAACGAAAGCUAGGGUAGCAAACAGG